rnacentral:rRNA from 1 species
AUUGAACGCUGGCGGCAUGCCUUACACAUGCAAGUCGAACGGCAGCACGGGCUUCGGUCUGGUGGCGAGUGGCGAACGGGUGAGUAAUGUAUCGGAACGUACCAUUGAGUGGGGGAUAACUAUCCGAAAGGAUAGCUAAUACCGCAUAUUCUCUGAGGAGGAAAGCAGGGGACCGCAAGGCCUUGCGCUCAUUGAGCGGCCGAUAUCAGAUUAGCUAGUUGGUGGGGUAAAAGCUCACCAAGGCGACGAUCUGUAGCGGGUCUGAGAGGAUGAUCCGCCACACUGGAACUGAGACACGGUCCAGACUCCUACGGGAGGCAGCAGUGGGGAAUUUUGGACAAUGGGGGCAACCCUGAUCCAGCCAUGCCGCGUGAGUGAAGAAGGCCUUCGGGUUGUAAAGCUCUUUCGGCCGGGAAAAAAUCGCAUGGGUUAAUACCCUGUGUGGAUGAUGGUACCGGAAUAAGAAGCACCGGCUAACUACGUGCCAGCCGCCGCAGUAACAC